ACGCUCGACACCUACGGGAAGCAGCAGUGGGGAAUAUUGCACAAUGGGGGAAACCCUGAUGCAGCGACGCCGCGUGGAGGAAGAAGGUCUUCGGAUUGUAAACUCCUGUUGUUGGGGAAAAAGAGGAUGGUACCCAACAAGGAAGUGACGGCUAACUACGUGUCAGCAGCCGNGGUAAUCUGAGCGGGCUGGCAAGGC
rnacentral:rRNA from 1 species